GACGAACGCUGGCGGCGCGCUUAACACAUGCAAGUCGAACGGAAAGGCCCUGCUUUUGUGGCUUGCGCGAGUGGCGAACGGGUGAGUAACACGUGAGUAACCUGCCCUUGACUGGGGGAUAACUUCAGGAAACUGGGGCUAAUACCGGAUAGGAGCUCCUGCUGCAAGGUGGGGGGGGGAAAGGGUAGGCGGUUGGGGAUGGACUCGCGGCUUAUCAGCAUGUUGGUGGGGUAGUGGCUUACCAAGGCUCUGACGGGUAGCCGGCCUGACGGGGUGAGCGGCUAAACUGGGACAGAGAUACGGCACAACCUCCUACGCGAGGACGCAGUGCGGCAUAUUGAAAUAUGGCCGGAAGCGUGACGCAGCAACGCCGCGGGCGGGAUGACGGACAUCGGGUUGUAAACCGAUUUUCCCUGUGACGAAGAGUGAGUGACGGUAAUGGGUCAAGAAACACCGGCUAACUACGUG
rnacentral:rRNA from 1 species